AACGCAAGACGAAUACUAACUCAAAUGCUUGCAUGGUUGAAGUUACACUUCAGAUGAUCAAUUCAAAUCUAAGAUCAUUUAAACGACAUCAUUUCAUUGAGCAAUGUAAGUAUAGUACAUGCGCAAAAAAGAUGGAGAAGGGGCCUAGUAGCAUACAUGCCAACAUGGUACACUUGUGGGAGAUUGAGUAAGAUGGCUGGUGAUUGGAUUGAAAGUCAGGCUGGUAGGCUUGUCAGGUGGGUGAUAAGCAUACAUUGAAUGUGAACCAAUAGUUAUUUUCCUUGCAAAAUUUUCAAAUUUCUAUUACUAUUGUGGUGCAACCGAUGUGUGGAACACUGAGUUUUGGAAGUUCAUAUCUGCAGAGGUAUGCCAUGUCUACAUAAUUUGUGGACCAGUGAGAUUUGUCUCAUGUGGGCCAUAUAUAUGCUAAUGUUGGCCAUA